AGACAAGCAGUUAGCUUUUUACUUAAAAAAAACAUAAACAGUGAGCUAAUACACUUUCUACACAAGUUUUUCUGUUUCAAGUUGUAAGCCACCACUCUUGGUCUUCGUGGGAUCUUCCCUUCGCUGGACCUGCCUGUGUGGAUAUACGCUUACGACAAAGACGAAUUAGAACUUGCUAAAGUUUGUUGGACAACCUGGCCCCUGAGGUUAAUAAGAUACCUGGCCAACGUUUUAAUGUCUGACGACAUUGCUAAUUAAAAAAAAAAAAAAAAAAA